GCCGGAGUAGUUCAGUGGCAGAACGCAUUCUUGGUAAGAAUGAGGUCGGGAGUUCGAUUCUCCCCUCCGGCU
rnacentral:tRNA from 1 species